AAAAAAAAAAAAAAAAAUCAUUUAUUACUAUGUUGCUGUAAAACUUUUGAUCGAGGGGUUGCUUGAUUAAUGCUUAAUAUUUUAGUAUGCGAUGCCAUUUUGAAACACUUUUGAGCGGGGUUACGACUACCAAAUUAUGUUGUUCAAAUCCAGAAUAUAAGAGCUAUUGUAUGGUUACUGGAUUUUAGAUUUAAGCUGCCUAGGAAGGGUGAGCCACGUAAUUUUCCUGCAAUUUUCAGAAUUUUCUUUGUGUGUGGAUUGAUAGUUUAAGAAUAAAAUUAUUGGUAGCAAGUGUGAAACUUUCUUGGACUUUUGAGAAUGUUCCACAAGAUUAACUAUGAUUGGUAAUUUAGAUUGUGAUGGCAGUCUCAAUAAAUAGCAGACUAUGAAGACAACAUUCCGAUGGUCUAACACUGAAUUGACGGAAGUAAUAGAAUUUUUCCUUUGCUGGGGCUUAAGGACACAAUAACAAAGUUUUGAAAAUAAUCAUGUAUGAAAAUUUUGUCAUAAUGUAACACUGUUCUUCUUCUUGAUAUAGCCUUUAUCAUGCAUAAUUUUGAAAAAGGGCAUUUUAUCUUAAAUACUUAUCUGAAUGAAGUAACACGCACUUAUAUAGUAAGUGGGUGAAAUUUUUGGAAAUUUGAAACUUUCCCUGAGGAAUAACUUCCAUAGGAAUUUCAUGGGCUGAGCUGUUGAAUGUUUUCUGGGUUCUCAUUGUUACAAACAUGCUCUUUUUUUUAUUAAAAAAAAAAAAACAAUGCAUUUAAUAUGGCUCUUCUUGGCAUUUUGGUUUUCCAGAAUCCAUAUUUCGUGAACAUUCUUAUGGCAGGCUACGACAAAGAGACAGGACCAUCUCUUUACUAUAUUGACUAUAUUGCCACUCUUCACAAGAUUGAUAAGGGAGCAUUUGGUUAUGGAUCAUAUUUUUCUCUUUCAAUGAUGGAUCGACACUACCACAGUGGAAUGACAGUGGAAGAAGCAAUUGAUUUGG
rnacentral:misc_RNA from 1 species